UACGAAGGGGGCUAGCGUUGCUCGGAAUUACUGGGCGUAAAGCGCACGUAGGCGGCUUUCUAAGUCGGGGGUGAAAUCCUGGAGCUCAACUCCAGAACUGCCUUCGAUACUGGAGAGCUUGAGUCCGGGAGAGGUGAGUGGAACUGCGAGUGUAGAGGUGAAAUUCGUAGAUAUUCGCAAGAACACCAGUGGCGAAGGCGGCUCACUGGCCCGGUACUGACGCUGAGGAGCGAAAGCGUGGGUAGCAAACAGG
rnacentral:rRNA from 1 species